UACAGAGGGUGCGAGCGUUAAUCGGAAUUACUGGGCGUAAAGGGUGCGUAGGUGGUUUAGUAAGUUAGAUGUGAAAUUCCUGGGCUUAACCUGGGGACUGCGUCUGAUACUGCAAAGCUAGAGUACUGUAGAGGGAAGUGGAAUUUCCGGUGUAGCAGUGAAAUGCGUAGAUAUCGGAAGGAACAUCAGUGGCGAAGGCGACUUCCUGGACAGAUACUGACACUGAGGCACGAAAGCGUGGGGAGCAAACAGG
rnacentral:rRNA from 1 species